rnacentral:rRNA from 1 species
CACGUAGGGUGCGAGCGUUGUCCGGAAUUAUUGGGCGUAAAGAGCUCGUAGGCGGUGUGUCGCGUCGGACGUGAAAACCUGCAGCUUAACUGUGGGCUUGCGGUCGAUACGGGCAUCACUGGAGUUCGGCAGGGGAGACUGGAAUUCCUGGUGUAGCGGUGAAAUGCGCAGAUAUCAGGAGGAACACCGAUGGCGAAGGCAGGUCUCUGGGACAUAACUGACGCUGAGAAGCGAAAGCGUGGGGAGCGAACAGG